AACUACAAGGCAAAAAGUCUGCUCCCAAGCUUCCUGGGUUCAACUUUUCAUUUUAAAAACAACAAAAGCAGAAACCAAAAGCCUCCUAGGUUGGAAGUGGGCGUGAGAGGAAACGCUGGGGGAGGCGCUUGGUUCCCUCGCUGCGCUCCCCCCCCCCUUUCUGGCCCCUACCCGGAGCUUUGAUGUUAUCUAGUGCACCGCCUACGUGGGUUAUACCUUGAGCUCAGUGCCUGGUGACAGUCAAGAUAUUCUCCUCUGUGGGUGCUGCUAGGAGGCAGCGCAGCAGGUGGCCAAAGGACGGGAUCCCCCAGCUCUAACCGGUCAUGGGAAAGGACCUUUGCGGACUCCCUUUCUCACCUGAGCUGAAAAAGGCUUUCCCCGCUAGGGAUCGUAGUCUCAGAAUUGUGCUACUUUUGCUGUUUGAUUCAGAGAAGGAGGUCUCCCAGAUUACAUUCUUUUUCCUUCCACACAGUACAAACUUGUAAUAAGAUCGUUUGGAUGUUUCCCCGGGCUCUGUUGAAUUUUUAGAACUCAGCUUGGAAGCAGAUAUUUUUUUUCUGAGAUAUUCCUACAGUCUUCAAGAGACAAGAAUACAACUCCCAAGACGACAAACUAUAAUAACACACUACAGAUUCCCCUUUGGGUCAAAAUACCUGCACAUCCUCCCCCUUUGCUUAUGGAAAGCUCAUGGUUUUAUUGUACUUACCCGGACACUAGCUCAACCUGGAUGUAUAUUUCUUAUGUUUUCAGCCUCAGAAUCAUCACUAAGGCAAGAUGUUUUGAAAAUGAGAAACAAACCAGGUUAGUAAUAAAGAAAAGGCAGUGUCUCUCCCAUUCAUUCUUCCUGGCACAUUCCCUUUAUGACAGCACCAGGCUGUGUUCAGGCCCUGCCUCCUGGGAAUUUACAAAUUAAUGGAGACAGCACAAACACACGGAAAAAUACCUGGAGGGAGAAAAGAUAUAAGCCACAGCUUAUAAACAGAGCCAAUUACACCGAGUUAUUUAUAUGACUGCCGAGAGAUCCUUGGGUAGAGGAAGUGUCUAUCCAGAAAAGUUCCAGGAGAGGGUGAGUCCUCAAUAGAGCUUUUAAGGGAAAGUUCAGGAUCUGCCUGGAAGAUAAGCACAGUACUCCAGCCCUGAGAGGCAGCUGCUAGGUGACAAGGAGGGGAACUAUAGGAUACUGUUUCCUUCAGGCAGUAGAAAGUCUAGGUGGGUGAGCAAUGAAUGGCAAGCAAAUUAGGAAGGACACUACUGAAAGUGAGAGGGACGCUCUUGACUCUGGAACCCAGCUGGGAGCUGUGCACCUGGGCUGUCCCCAGAAGCGGGAUGAGUUUUUCUAAUGGUAGCAGCGAGGCAGUCAGAAUGAACCAGCACCAGUCAGAGAAGAACCAAAGCACCCAUCCUUUGGAAGGAUUAAGACACUGUGAGCAGUUGGUAGUCAUCUGGAGACAUCUAGACCGAGAAUAGUCUUUAGGCAAAGUCACUGUGGCUGGUGGAUUUAGGACAGAUAUGGGAGCUGGGUACAAAGACUGCAGCUGUGGUAGUGACAACAGUAAAGGGGGUGGCCAGCAUCGCACUCCUGUCUCUCCUUCAUCCCAUUUCUAAAAUGUUACAUAAUCGCCAGUGAUCCGUGGAGUUAGUACACCGUGCUUUUCACGACUGGAAUCCAGAGCACAUCCGGAUGGUUAAAACAGAAAGGCUGUGUUUUAUGGAAAAUACUCUAAUAACUUUAUCAUUUUCUGCAUCCACGGAGCAGGAAAAUGGAAGACAUGGUUGUUUAGAAAUCUACAGUAAUUCAAGUUUUUAGAAAGUGACUGAUGAUGUCAUAAAAGUGCAGUUGUUGGGGGAUAUUUGAGGCUGACAGGAGGGAAGGGAAAGGUGUUUGGGUUUGAACCUAUCUAAUUUUGAGAAGGAUGGUGGUUCCAGCCCUUGUUUGAUUCAUACCACAACACUGGUCUGUUGGAAAGCGUCUACUUCGAUGUAAAUAACACAAUCUUGGGUUCAAAAUGUGGCCAAAUGUCCUGCAAUAAUAAAUUGUGACUCUGAAAAAAAAAAAAAGAGGCUGGAAGAAGGGUGGUUAUGAUCAACAGAGGGGCCACAUGAAGUUCUCGGAAUUCUAUGUAAGUAGUGUCCUAGGCAGUGCCUUGGGAAGCACAGGGAAGGAGUGAGCAGUGUUCUUGAAAGCUAUCCCCGCUGACCUGUGACCUCGCUAUGUAGAAUUAAGUUCAAUAAUCUAAGCCAUGGUGUCAGCCUGCUCAGGUGAAUGGAGCAAAAUGCCAACAACCAGGGAUCUCGAGGUGUAUACAUCGAUCCCGUUGUGGAUCUGGAGGGUAGAAAUCCACAAUUAAGUCUGUGGCAGAUUCCCUUCUACUGACGUCUGUCUUCCUGGUCUGCAGACGGCUGCCCACUUGAAAAUGUCUCAGCAAACCGCACAGUAACUAGGAGCAGAGACUCACCUCCAAGAGCUCACAUUAUCAUGUACCUGCUUUACAACAGGCUUGGAAGCAACGAUUCAACCAGCAUGGGCUGAAAAGCCUUCCAAACCGAGAGCCAAAAUAAACACAGCAAUGUGAUCAUACGAGUAUUUUCUACAGGCACCGAAAGCUGAUUAGACACACAUUUGCAUAGGCGUGACCUCCCCAAAUGAGAACAUGGCCCUCCUUGCUCAGCCAACCCAGACAGUGAUAGAGUAGAUGUGUUAAUGUUUUUUUGCAUGAAAUGAGAGAGAAAAAGACACAGGUUGGGCUGUUCAGUCUUGAUGGUAUUUAGAAUUGCCCAGGAGAUAAACCUGGGUGAGUCUGUAAGAACAUUUCCAGGGGUCAGGGGUCUCACUAAGGUGGAAGGCUCACUUUGAGUAUGGGCACCAUUCCGUAGCCUGGAGUCCCAAACUGAAUCAAAGGAACAAAGCAAGUGGAGCAUGGGAUGGCCACACCUCUUCCUGCUUCCUGACUACAGUACCAAUGUGCCUAGCAACUCCUGCUCCUGCUGCCAUUCUCCCCCCACCUCCACCCCCCCUUGCCGUGAUGGGUCGCACUCUCAAAGUGUG
rnacentral:sRNA from 1 species